UUUAAUCCCAGAGCUGUCCUGGCUUUUCCUCUCCUCCGCUUGACUUCACCCGUGGUGAGAGGCCAUGGAGUGUGAGCACAUCUUCAGAUUUCAGCCUUGUCCAUCCGCCAGUGCACCCAGAGAGCACCUGCCCAAGGAGCAGCCAUAGAGCAGCAAAUGUGAGGGGGAAGGAGCCUAAACCAGGAUCGUGGGGACAAAUUAGCAGGUGCCUGUGGAAUAUUGCUCACUCCGUCUGCGAUUCCGGAGCCUACACACCCUGCAAAUCCUCCUCAGUGCUCAGAGAAGUGACCCUGCACUCGGUACUGACCCUGCAGAACUUGGAGGCAGAUUUAAAAAGAGUUCCGAAAUCUUCUGUUUAUUUCUGUGAAUUUUGGAUCCAAUUCCUCUAAAUCAAAGAUAAAUAAAGUUUACAGUGAGACAGUACUUGGCAAGAACACAAUUUCCAACCCUCCUCCUCAAAAUCUCUA